AUUAGGAUGACUGAAUUAUAGGUAGUAAAUUGUAAAUUUAUGUAUGAAUUAAAUUUCUCCUAAUA
rnacentral:tRNA from 1 species